rnacentral:misc_RNA from 1 species
AACGCACAUUGCGCCCUUUGGUAUUCCGAGGGGCAUGCCUGUUCGAGCGUCAUUAUAACCACUCAAGCCCCGGCUUGGUAUUGGGGUUCGCGGUCUCGCGGCCCUUAAAAUCAGUGGCGGUGCCAUCUGGCUCUCAGCGUAAUAGUUUAUCUCGCUAUUGGGUCCGGUGGUUGCUUGCCAAUAACCCCCAACUUUUCACGGUUGACCUCGGAUCAGGUAGGGAUACCCGCUGAACUUAA